AGAUAAGAGAUUGACACAGGAACAUUUAAAUUUUGCAAAUAAUUUUGUUUAUCGAAAUUCUUCAAUCCUUUUUUUUAUUGGAAAUAGGUUCGGGUGAAACGUGUAGGAAUUUGAAUUUGGACUUUUGCUUCUCUGCACAACACACGCCCGCUUGCUGUAAUCAAAACUAGUACAAUCGAAUGUUUGCCGUUUUCACCAAAACCAAGUAGAGUUGCUUACAUUUCUUGCUCUCCCAGCAAGCAAGAUGAUGGCUGAUUGUUAUUAUAUUGACAAAACCCUUGUUCCGU